GAGACCCUUGCUUUUAGUUGCUAUUUCCCGUCUUCGGACUGGAAAGCACACUAGAAGGACCGCGCCUGUAAAGGCGAGGAAGGUUAGGGCGACGUCAGGUCAGUAUGCCCCGAAUGUCUCGGGCUACACGCGAGCUGCAAUGCGUAGGACAAUGAGAUGCAACACCGAAAGGUGAAGCUAAUCUCCUAAACCUACGCUCAGUUCGGAUUGAGGGUUGAAACUCACCCUCAUGAAGCCGGAAUCCCUAGUAACCGUAUUUCAACAUGAUACGGUGAAUAC
rnacentral:rRNA from 1 species